UCUGCAGGCCGGCCUGUCGUGCUAAUUCUUAAUUGUUAUUAGUGAGGAAAGUCCGGAUAACAAAGAGCGCCGCACCACCUAACGGGUGGCUGCAAUGUUUCGACAUUGUGCGAGAAAGUGCCACAGAAAAUAACCACCUGAUGCAAAUUGGGAAAGGGUGAAAAUGUGAGGUAAGAGCUCACGAUAAUAAGUAGCAAUAUUUGUUAUGGGUAAACCUUGCGGGUUACAAUGCCAAAUAUGCCGGAGUUUUCCGUUUCGACGGAAAAGAGGAUUGCUCGUCCGAAUCUCCGGUGGGUAGGCAGCAGGAGCUAUGCAGUGAUGUAUAGCCUAGAUAAAUGACAGGAUUGAAACAGAAUCCGGCUUAUGAGCCUGCAGAUUUU
rnacentral:RNase_P_RNA from 2 species